GAUGAACGCUGGCGGCGUGCCCAAUACAUGCAAGUCGAGCGAAGCGGGGACGGGCGAGUAACACGUGGAUAACCUCCUAUAAGACUGGGAUAACUACGGGAAACCGGAGCUAAACCGGAUAAUUAUAGAUGGAUCUGCGCUGCAUUAGCUAGUUGGUAAGGUAACGGCUAACCAAGGCAACGAUGCAUAGCCGACCUGAGAGAAGGAUCGGCCACACUGGAACUGUAACACGAUCCAGACCCCUACGGUAGGCAGGCGUAGGGAGUCUUCCAAAAUGGGCGAAAGCCUGACGGAGCAACGCCGCGUGAGGGGUGAAGGUCUUCGGAUCGGAAAACUCAGUUGUUAGUGCAGCGGUACCUAAUCAGAAAGCCACGGCUAACUACGUGCCAGCAGCCGCGGUAAUUC
rnacentral:rRNA from 1 species